rnacentral:tRNA from 1 species
GCCUUCGUAGUGUAGUGGUUAGCACGCUUGAUGCAUAACCGAAUGGUCCUUGGUUCGAUUCCCUGCGAAGGCG